rnacentral:lncRNA from 1 species
AUCAUUAGAAGCAUACCACAAUGUAUAACUUUGGAAUCAUUCAUGUCCAUUUUUGCUUUCAGGAACUCGCCUGCCUGUGUAACACCUCCAGUUGAGAUCCGUAUUGGUCGGAGAAGUCUAAUGUCACUGGGAAUUCCAUCCGCAUCCUUGACGAUGUAUGACUGUCCAUCACAAUGGUGUACCACAGCGCUGAACUCUUCUUGACUAAGUCUCUUGGUAACUGGAACUCGCCUGCCUGUGUAACACCUCCAGUUGAGAUCCGUAUUGGUCGGAGAAGUCUAAUGUCACUGGGAAUUCCAUCCGCAUCCUUGACGAUGUAUGACUGUCCAUCACAAUGGUGUACCACAGCGCUGAACUCUUCUUGACUAAGUCUCUUGGUAACUGGAACUCGCCUGCCUGUGUAACACCUCCAGUUGAGAUCCGUAUUGGUCGGAGAAGUCUAAUGUCACUGGGAAUUCCAUCCGCAUCCUUGACGAUGUAUGACUGUCCAUCACAAUGGUGUACCACAGCGCUGAACUCUUCUUGACUAAGUCUCUUGGUAACUGGAACUCGCCUGCCUGUGUAACACCUCCAGUUGAGAUCCGUAUUGGUCGGAGAAGUCUAAUGUCACUGGGAAUUCCAUCCGCAUCCUUGACGAUGUAUGACUGUCCAUCACAAUGGUGUACCACAGCGCUGAACUCUUCUUGACUAAGUCUCUUGGUAACUGGAACUCGCCUGCCUGUGUAACACCUCCAGUUGAGAUCCGUAUUGGUCGGAGAAGUCUAAUGUCACUGGGAAUUCCAUCCGCAUCCUUGACGAUGUAUGACUGUCCAUCACAAUGGUGUACCACAGCGCUGAACUCUUCUUGACUAAGUCUCUUGGUAACUGGUAUGUUGUCACCUUCAGGCUUAAGACACUUUGUUUUAGUAACACCUAUAGUUCUUUUGAACAGACAUUGGUGUCCCUUUUGAAAGGCACCCUUGUUGUGCAGGUUUUCUGUUGGAUUUUUCUUUGGCUUCAUUGUUAGCACACUGGGUGUGGUAUAUUCUCUUAGGAUAAGCCAACUGUGAACUUUUGUAUCUCUUAGCAUGUAGCAGUCUUCAGUGGAAUGGAACCUGUGGUGUGUGUUAUGUUAAUAAAUACUGUCAUGCAGUAAACUGAUGCUGUUCUGUUUUGAAUUUGUUUAUGAUUGUGGUCAAUUCUCUCAGCCAUCAGAUACUUUAGUCUUCAGUUCACUCCCAGUUUGAAAUUGCCCAUGUGUCCUGUUGACAGCUGCCAGUGUGCAUACUUCCCUCUCAUACUGUCCCAAAAUAACCUUUUUCUGGCUCACUUGAAUUUGCCAAAUCCAAUAUUUAAAUUAAGUUUUUAAUAAAAGUUCAUGCAUAUGACAUAUUAAAAUAUGCCAGUACCCAGUAUGGUCUUGUAAUUUUAAUGUGACCAUUU